rnacentral:rRNA from 1 species
AUUGAACGCUGGCGGCAGGCCUAACACAUGCAAGUCGAGCGGGGCGGCGGACGGGUGAGGAAUGCCAAGGUAUCUGCCUGGGAGUGGGGGAUAACGACAGGUAACGGGAGCUAAUACCGCAUACUCUCAGAUGAGCAUGGGUCGGAUUAGCUAGUUGGUGGGGUAAAGGCAUACCAAGGCGACGAUCAGUAACUGGUCUGAGAGGAUGAUCAGUCACACUGGAACUGAGACACGGUCCAGACUCCUACGGGAGGCAGCAGUGGGGAAUAUUGGACAAUGGGCGAAAGCCUGAUCCAGCCAUGCCGCGUGUGUGAAGAAGGUCUUCGGAUUGUAAAGCACUUUAAGUUGGGAGGCGUUACCAGCAGAAUAAGCACCGGCUAACUCCGUGCCAGCAGCCGCGGUAAUAC